rnacentral:rRNA from 1 species
UACGUAGGGUGCGAGCGUUGUCCGGAUUUAUUGGGCGUAAAGCGAGCGCAGGUGGUUUAAUAAGUCUGAUGUAAAAGGCAGUGGCUCAACCAUUGUGUGCAUUGGAAACUGUUAGACUUGAGUGCAGUAGAGGAGAGUGGAAUUCCAUGUGUAGCGGUGAAAUGCGUAGAUAUAUGGAGGAACACCGGUGGCGAAAGCGGCUCUCUGGCCUGUAACUGACACUGAGGCUCGAAAGCGUGGGUAGCAAACAGG